AGGUAUUAAUAUUGAAAACUGAUAUCUAUCAAUAAUGUUAAUUAUUAAGAUUUGGACAGCAUUUGGGCAGCAAGGACUGUCUCAAAUAUUUUCUGGCCCUGGUGUAGGUGUUUGCCCACAUUGAGAAUGAAAGUUUUUCUCUUUCCCUAUAACAUGUUAGAAACAGUUAAAAAUGCUGAUUUGGUUAUUUUUUCCACCCAUGAUUCCUGUGUAUCCUAAGCAGUAUAUCCUAAGCAGUCUUUUCACUGUGAGGAUCUGAUAUUUAUGUGCUUUUUUUUUCAUAAAUCAAACUGUUUUCAGAUUCCUCAACAUGGAUCUAGAAAGCUCAGUGGGUAUCUACAUGUACCUGUCCUUAUUUUCCCUGUCCUGUGUUCUCUUACUGGACCACAGCCUCGUAAAUUCUGCUCUUGGUGGCCUGUGCUGCAGCAGCAUCCUCACACAGGCUCCAAGACAGGGCAGAUAUAAAUAAUUAAUCAUAAGGCCUAAGCUCUAAAUACAAGAGAGUAACAUUGUUCCAAAGUGCCUAAGAUAACACCUGCUGAAUAAUACCACUUUCAUGCAGUCUGAUUCUUUUGCAUUUCUCUCCAAGAGGUAGCCCAAACAAGCCAGAGACCUAAAGGCAUUUUUGAAACUGCUGCCCAGCAGUCUCUGUCAUUUCACUCUGUUGCGGAAAUCAGCGCGUUUGGAAGCUUUUCCUUCCAAGUUGUAGCACUGCCUGCUUUAUCUAGCAUAACCUUUAAUGGGGCGCCCAUUGAUUCCUUAAGGACACUUCCUUAUGUCAGCUAUGUCUCAUUGCUGGGGAAUUUGUUCUGAUAAACACUGCAAAUGUUACUGUGUUAAAUUUUAUUCCUUUACUUGUAAUAAUAUCCCUUUGGACCACCUACACCCUUUCUGUAGAGCUCUGGAGGGCUGUAGAAGAUGAACACCAUUUUGUGAACACAUUAUUCCAGAUGUACUGUGUACACUCACAGGGCAAGAGCAGCAUAAUACAGUUCUUUGGAUAUUUUCCUCCUGCUUUAGAUUUUCAGGCAGUUCUGGAAAGAUAAUUACCAUUUUGACAUCACCUAUCUGGGAAUGUUGAUUACUUAAACACUGUCCUUGUUGACUUUAUUCCUUUUAGCUGUUUUUGAUCCAGACAUGCUUUGCUUUUUAUUUGUGUGUGUUUCUCAGAGACAGGGUGUUUCUUUAAAAUAUGUAUUUUCACAUUUAUUAAAACCUCAUAUUGUUUUAAGAUACAUAUCUGGUAAAAAGAUCUCAAGUAUUUAAGAACAUAAGGUGGAUAAUUUAUGGAAUUGAUUCUUUAUGGUGUAAGGUUUUCUGGGUUGAUGUAAAGUCCUUUUCUUACCUGAGAAAAUCAGAGCUAUCACCCUAAAACAGAAUUUAUAACCAUGCAUGUAAUUAAUUCAUAAAAGGAAAUAUUGUUCGGAUUUCAAAGAAAAGUCAUGCAAGAAUAGCAGAGUGAGCAAAGUACCAUAGUUAGUUGAAAGCUGUGGUUUAAGAUGCAGCUAGAGAGGUACAACUGCCUGCUUGUGUGGGGACACCUCUGCAGUUGGUUGAGAUGUAAAAGAUCCUCUUGCUGCUAUUUGAGCUGGCAAUUCUUGCCAUAUUUGCUUUGCUUUGGUUUUUCCCCCCACUGAAAAUAGAUUACUCUUUCCCUCAAGUACUUUGUUAACACUGGAAUAAUAAACAGUAUGUCUUUUAUGUGACAGGGUACCUGUAGGACUUAACCAUACAGACAAUAAAAGGGCUAAGAUGUUCUUGAGCUGAACAUAAACACUGGAAAGGAUAAUGUUUUUCACUAAGUGCUUUGCACUUCUGGCUAAGCAGAGUGGGUACCAUGAGCCACUUGCAGAGAGGUUCAGGGCCAAUGAGCCUUUCAUAAGCAGCUAAAUUAGGCCUAUAAAUCUUGCAGGAAGAAACAUAUGCUCUUGUUCAGAGGCGCAACAGGUGACAGCCUAUUAAAAAAUAACUGCAUGUUUUAAAUAGCCUGAGAAAUUCAGGCUCCUCUACUCAUUUUUCACUGCAUUUAUAAUUCUGUUUUCUUGUCUUCAGCUUAUCUCACGGGGAAAAUCUGUUUCAUUGCUGAUGUCCCAAUGCAAUUCAUCCUUCCAGUUGUUUGUCUUCUAUUAUAAGCAGAUGCAGCAGAGCUCUUUGUCCUCUGUGGGCCUAGUGUCUCCCAGGAAUCUCAGGCAGCUCUCUGAUACUCUUUUUCUUUUACAAGCAGGCUUUGAUAGUGAGUUACCUCCUUGUGGAAAGCAGUGGUUCUCAAGUAGGAAGAUGCCUCCACCUCUAACUAUAUCUUUACAUCAAUUUAAUCACAACAUACAGCUCUCCCCCACUCCAAGUAUUUUUCUAGAUUUUUUGCAUAAUGUUUGGAACAAACUAAAGAGAUGCCGUAAGGGCAAAAUGUGCUCAUGAGCCUACUGGUUUAAAUCUAGGCCAAUUUAAUUGAAGCUAAUCUUGUUCCAGGCAUGCCAAGACCAGAACUGUGUUUUACUGAUUUUUUGAGUCUGGAGUGAAAGGACAAUAGAACUCCUUUCUGUGUGCAAAUCAAUACAUACUGAUAAAGUCUAUUAAAAAAAGGUAAACAUUUAUGGAGGUGGUUGAUUUCUCAUCAUGAUAGUGGAUACUGCAAGUUUAUACUGGAUGGGUAAAACAUUAUGAGAAAGGUUGAGAGCAGUGGUUGAUUAAUAGAGGGAGUCAAGUGAAAACUUCUGUAGGAAAACAAGAGCACUGACAGCAUACAAGCAAGUGGCUGCACUUUUUGUCCACAGAAAAAGCAGGGUCCACAGGAUACACAGCCAGAAUGAGCUGGUAGAGCCCCAUUUUCUUGAGAGGAACCAUGGCCACUGCAUUUAAGCCAAAGUGCUAGAUCCUGUUGGAACAGAGCAAUUGGGUAGAUGUGUUUACCCAGCUGUGCCAGCAUCCCAGCACUCUUCUCCUGGGGAAUCAUUGUGUGAGAGCAGGCGCUUGGAACUGUUUCUUCAGCUCUGACCCAGAACAGGUGCAACUUCUGCCAGGACUCUCCUGCUUUAGGGAGGCUGAUGAUGAUGGAUUUCCUGUGAGUCUAAACCUCAGUGCUGAGGUAGACCGGGAAAGAAAAACCUAACGCUUCCAUUAAAAAAUUCUUUUUCAGCCUAGUGCUCACAAGAGCAGGUUUAUUUUCUUGUACCUUUCCCCAAUGCCAACAAUCUCUGUGCAUAAUCUCAGGUCUUCCUUUCUUAAAAUUUUGUCACCCAGCCAGUUUUCCACUCUAACAUUUUUCACCUUUUAUAAAAUGUCUCCCUUCUUGAUUGCUGGCUCUCCUGCCUUGCAAGGCCUCCUCAUCCAACCUCUGCAGAUGAACAGAGACUUCACCGCACCACAUCUAGGUUGAUGUGCCAGCUGGCCCUCUCCAAGGCACACAUGGUACUGCAGCAGAUUCAACACACUAAAUACCUUUCUAGGUACUGGCAAGUAUCAGCGCUCUGGUCCCACUGUCUACAGCCUUAUCCAUUUGGCGCCUGCUCCAGCCCUCUCACAUUACCAGCAGUGGGGUCUGUUUUCAGCUGUGAAAAGCUGAAGUGAGGAUGGAAGAAGGGAAGAUGGUUGUCUGCUCCUUCUCACACUCACAGUAACUCCAGGACUUUCAGGUUGGGUGGCUACCCAGGAAAAAGCUAGAUCUCAGGGGUAGGUUGUUCCUGCAAGUCUGGUGAAA